UAAAUCCACCGGCUAUCACCCUCUGAUCUUCUUCUCUCUCGCGGCCGUUUUCACGAAGAAAAUAUAAAACACAAACUCCCCACUCUGUCUUCAUCUCGAUUCGACUCUCUCGAUUUCUCUCUCAGUUUAUGCUCGCACGAAGUCAUGGAAGAAACUCAAACUCUCUCGAUUUUGUUAUGGGCAGUAGAUACAAAUCACAAAACGUUAGAAGAAAAUAAGCUAUGUAAAAUGCAUAAAGAAAACAACACUCGAACCCAGGGACUUGUCUUGCCAUUUUUGUGCAAGUUUUGGACAGUUAUGUGCAGCAGCAAGAAGCAGGUUUCUUGGAGUGUUAUGGCAUGGUGGAGAGGUAGCAGCAUGGCAUAGCAGGGACACGUGAAGACAAGAAAUUUGUAUUAUUUUGGUCUUUUCCGCUGAUGCAAAUACACUGAUGUAAAUGCAAAUGCAAAUUGAUGCAAAAAAACACUUUGGGCUGUAACUUAAUAAUUUUUGGUACAUCUUUGUAAAUUGGAGUUUUUUUGGACUGAUU